CAUGAUUCAAUAAUUACUAUUCUAAUCACCCUAAUUGCGAGAGUCGUGACGAAUGCAAGUGGUUUUUCAAGAGUCGAAUCGUACCGAAAAUUUCAUGUCAUUGCCUAAAAUUUCCACUCGACUAAUGUAUUAAAACGGAAAAACUUGGCAGCACUGUAUAG